rnacentral:lncRNA from 1 species
CUCCGGUUUUUGAUUCCAAACCCUAACCGUGUCAUUUCAUUCCACAAACUUCUUUCCAGAGAAAGAAACUGCAGAUUCCUUUUCCAAGUGAAGAUGCAUAAACCAUUGACGAACAACAUGCUUGUUCUUUACAAUAUGGAAUCCGGACAACAUGCUCACGAAAUCCCCACUUAGUCCGACCACAUUAAGCUCCAAUCCAUCAAGCUUGAAGCCUCCUAUGAACUGAUGUAGUUCAGUAAAAGUAUGCAUGCAUUAUUUGGUUCUUGUUAACGAGGAUGAUGGGAUAUUUCAAGAUGGUUUGGAAAAUGUUGAGAAUGAAGAGGAUAUUGUGAGAUUUUAAGACAAAAUAAAUGAAGAACUACAACCUUCAAUCAGGAGCCUUGAAGUUGAAAAACACAUAGUUGCUUGAAAUGUGAAAAGAAAAUGAAGACUACCAGCAAAGGAAAAAAUUUGAGCUAGAAGCUACGCGGAAAGAUUUUCACAGCCAACAUGCAAACUCUGAAGCUACGAUACCACGUAUUGUGAAAAAACUACUAUUAGAGUACUUUGGAAUCU